rnacentral:rRNA from 1 species
AGCGAACGCUGGCGGCAGGCUUAACACAUGCAAGUCGAGCGGACGUAGCAAUACGUCAGCGGCAGACGGGUGAGUAACGCGUGGGAACGUACCUUUUGGUUCGGAACAACACAGGGAAACUUGUGCUAAUACCGAAUAAGCCCUUACGGGGAAAGAUUUAUCGCCGAAAGAUCGGCCCGCGUCUGAUUAGCUAGUUGGUGGGGUAACGGCCCACCAAGGCGACGAUCAGUAGCUGGUCUGAGAGGCUGAUCAGCCACAUUGGGACUGAGACACGGCCCAAACUCCUACGGGAGGCAGCAGUGGGGAAUAUUGGACAAUGGGCGCAAGCCUGAUCCAGCCAUGCCGCGUGAGUGAUGAAGGCCCUAGGGUUGUAAAGCUCUUUUGUGCGGGAAGAUAAUGACGGUACCGCAAGAAUAAGCCCCGGCAAACUUCGUGCCAGCCGCCGCAGUAACAC